UUUGCUGGAAAACAUUCAAGAUCAAAACUGAGAUAAGAGAGGGGCAGAGUGGUUGGGAGUACUCACUGCUACUGCCAUGAUAAUGUGGAGGAUUCCAGAAAUGCCAAAGGGCUCAUUCAUCAGCAUUCAGAAAACUCAGCUUUAGGUUUGUGCCAAGCUGUGGAAAGGGAAAGACGUAAUUAUUCUUGUGCCCAGGUCUGUUGCUGCACUGCAGCCUUGUUGUACAAUCAAGAAAGAACAAGCCCAUUUAACAAAGAAGAAGCAUGUGGGUCGAUUUGAAUGGCCAGGGAGAUACUGAAAAUCAGCUGAAAGAAGUUGAUACAAUAAUUAUUCACCGAUUGUGGGUCAGAGCCUAGCAUAGUCACAAUUUCUAGCUGUUAAGAGUAGAGCUGUGGCUGUGCUUUCGAUAUACUAGGAGUGUUGAUAUCUUAGCCUGAGAUCAAAAAAGAAGUCAUAAUAGCACAUGUAUUUUAUUUUUUUUAAGUAUAUGUUUAAUUCUCUGGCCUGUUUUUUCUACUGUGUAAAUAAGUAGGGGGUACUGCUGGGGCAGUAUUCCCAGAGCUUCAUUUGCAGAUCUUGCUCACUCUUUUCCCUAACACAGCUCAUUUCCUUCUGCCCCCUAUCCCCCAUGCCACCGAAUUUGAGUGUGGUCUGUGACUGGAAAUGUACGCUGGAAAAGAAAUUCUGGAAAAUUGGAACUGGAAUUUAUGAGAAGUGCAUACAAAUGAUACUUCAAACACUGCAAAGGGUGUUUGCAUUGCUUUACUUGGUGACAUUCUGG